rfam:Schistosoma curassoni strain Dakar, Senegal genome assembly, scaffold: SCTD_scaffold0007812
ACCCAGCUGACGAGUCACAAAUAGGACGAAACACGAGUCCUGGAU